AGUUUCUUCCUGUUCGAAAAUUCGCCGAACCUUACGCGGUUGUUAAGUACGUUCUACAUGAACAAAAACUGCUUAAAUGGAUAAUUGCGGGCAGAGGAUCUUUGAGGUUCCAAGCUUGCAUCGGAAAAUUGGAAGUGAUCUCUGAAUUGAAACUAAUGAUCAGAUGACAACAAUGAUUAGAAUGAUACCGGUGAAAAGGUAAAAGAAGACAAAUUCUCAUCAAACAUACUAUAUG